AGACACGACAUUCACAAACGUGUGUUCAAGUUGCUUUCGGUUGCCUUCCUCUUUUUUUCCUUAACAUAGAAGAAAAUUUAAUCCUACUGAAAUGUGCAUGUGUUCUGAAACAGCUAAGAUAAGAAAUAGUAAUCAGCGUGGAGGAAGAGAUGGGAAAUCCUUUUCGAUAGACUCCAUUAAGGAACACUUACUUAUCAGCUAGAAGCUCAAAGACUGUGCAAGAAGGAACAAGGAAGCUUCAAUUAAAGCUGAUGAAGAGCAAGGCUUCAUAUAAGGAGAUGGAUGCUUUUUUCUUUAUUUACUGGAAAGGAAUACUUUUUACUUUUUAUAAAUAAAUAAGGUGAAAUGAUUUGUUAUGCAUAUAGCAUUACAACCCAGAUUCCAAAACUUAAAAAGAGAAAAUGGAAAAAAUGUGGUUGUGAUGACAAAGCCCCACUAUAAUCAAGGAAGAAUCAAACACAGACAAAAGUAGAAAAACGUAACCGGUUUAUACGUAUUAUAGGACAAUUUGAUUAACGAAGAAGCAUAAAGGCCUAUAACCAAGAAACAAGGAGAAUAAGAAAAAGUCAAGGCUUUUGUUUCUGAGUAUAGAUAUAGUCAAGAUGUGCAGCAAGAGUUCUUCUCAUCAAACACUCAUCUUCUCCAACUCCUUCACACCUAUCUUCGCUCUGCUC